AUACACACACACACACAACCGCAUAAAAUAUCAUGUAAAUAUAUAUCCAUACAAAAUUAAACUCCAAGCAAAUUUGGAGUUUACUAUCAUGCUAAGCUGUAUCACAUAUUUGCAAUAGAUUAAAAAAUAUAAAAGAUUAAAUUAGCAAACUAAUUAUUUACUAGAUGAUGAAAAUAUAUAGAUUAAAAAAAUAUAAAAUAA
rnacentral:lncRNA from 1 species